UGCCCAGCAACUCCUAUCCCUACCUCCUCGCGGUACUGGCCGGGGUACGAAGAAGGGAAUCCAAUGUCGGGUAAGCAACCCCCGGUGGGAACUUUGGUCGUAUGCUGACAGGGAAGG
rnacentral:ribozyme from 1 species